rnacentral:pre_miRNA from 1 species
GUCAACCAUUAACCCAUUUGACCCAUUUAAUUUAAUGGGUCAUGGGUCAACCCACUAAUAAAUGGGUUGGGUUGACCCAUGACCCAUUAACAGUCAACCCAUUUGAGCUAUGGGU